GAUGAAGAACGUAGCGAAAUGCGAUACGUAAUGUGAAUUGCAGAAUUCAGUGAAUCAUCGAAUCCUUGAACGCAUAUUGCGCCCUCUGGUAUUCCGGAGAGCAUGCUUGUUUGAGUAUCAGUAAACACCUCAACUUCCAUAUCUUUUUUGAAAUGGGAGUUGGACUUGAGUGAUCCCAACGCUUUUCCUCACCGAAAAGUGGCGGGUUACUUGAAAUGCAGGUGCAGCUGGACUUUUCUCUGAGCUAUAAGCAUAUCUAUUUAGUCUGCCUAAAAAACAGAUUAUUACCUUUGCUGCAGCUAACAUAAAGGAGAUUAGUUCUUGUGCUGACUGAUGCAGGAUUCACAAAGACAGGCUUCGGCCGACUUUGUAAACUCGAUCUCAAAUCAAGUAAGACUACCCGCUGAACUUAAGCAUAUCAAUAAGCGGAGGA
rnacentral:misc_RNA from 1 species